rnacentral:tRNA from 1 species
GCCCUAGUAGCUUAGUAUUAUAAAGCACCGGUCUUGUAAUCCGGAAAUCGAAGGUUAAAAUCCUUCCUAGUGCC